ensembl:snoRNA
AACCAAAGUGUUGAGUUCAGUUCAGGGCCUUGUCCCUGUUCUGGUAAUUAAGCUUUGGAACAGCGAGUGACUGGGAAAUGCACCACGGUGACUGAAAGUUUGUUUUAUGCCACCUGUGUUUCUCGGCCUACAAAG